GUUCCAAAUUCACAUGUGAAAUUUCACAUGUGAAACUACACAUGUGAAACACAUAAUUUCACAUGUGUUCACAUGUGAAAAGUCACAUGUUCCAAGUUCACAUGUUCCAAAUUCACAUUCACAUGAUUUCACAUGUGUGAAUUUUCACAUGUGAAUUUGGAAC